AACCUGGUUGAUCCUGCCAGUAGUCAUAUGCUUGUCUUAAAGAUUAAGCCAUGCAUGUCUAAGUUUAAGUAAUUUAACGGUGAAACUGCGAAUGGCUCAUUAAAUCAGUUAUAAUUUACUUGGUUGAUCCUACUCUUACUCGGAUAACUGUAGUAAUUCUAGAGCUAAUACGUGCAACGAAGCCCCAACUUUUCGGAAGGGGUGCACUUGUUAGGUACCAAACCAGCCGGGCAACCGAGUUCUGGUGAUUCUAGACAAGUAGGCGGAGCGUGUGACCUUGUGUCGACGCCGAAUCAAUCAAGUUUCUGCCCUAUCAACUUUGUUGGGUAAUUGGAAUGAGUACAAUCUAAAUCCCUUAACGAGGAUCCAUUGGAGGGCACGUCUGGUGCCAGCAGCCGCGGUAAUUCCAGCUCCAAUAGCGUAUAUUAAAGUUGUUGCAGUUAAAAAGCUCGUAGUUGGAUUUCUGUGGACGUUGGUAGUGGUGGUGCAAACAAUGUACUUGCUACUAUCGGCUCCUCAUAAUGUUCGCCUGCCGUUUUCUGCUCUUAACUGGGUGGUCAGCGGUGGUGGACCGAUUACCUUGAACAAAUUAGAGUGUUCAAAGCAGGCAAUUCUUUUGCCCUGAAUAAAUUAGCAUGGGAUAAUGGAAUAUGACUCGGCUCAAGUUCGUUGGUUAUCUAGAGUCGAGUAAUGGUUAAUAGAGAUUGUCGGGGUCAUUCAUAUUCAAUUGUCAGAGGUGAAAUUCUUAGAUUCUUUGAAGAUGAACUGGUGCGAAAGCGUUUGACAAGGAGCUCUCAUUGAUCAAGAACGAAAGUUAGGGGAUCGAAGACGAUCAGAUACCGUCGUAGUCUUAACCUUAAACGAUACGAAUCAAAGAUCAGUUGAUGUUAAUCGUACGACUCCAUUGGAAUUUAACGGGAAACCGUUGAAUGUUUGCGUUCUGGGGGGAGUAUGGUCGCAAGGCUGAAACUUAAAGGAAUUGACGGAAGGGCACACCAGGAGUGGAGCCUGCGGCUUAAUUUGACUCAACACGGGGAAACUUACUAGGUCCAAACAUGGUUAGGAUUGACAGAUUGAUAGUUCUUUCUUAAUUUCUAUGGGUGGUGGUGCAUGGCCGUUCUUAGUUGGUGGAGUGAUUUGUCUGGUUAAUUCCGAUAACGAACGAGAUCGCAUCCUAUUAACUAGUCGCCCUAAUCUUCUACAUGGGUGAAGCUUAUCGGCUUCUGGCAGGCGGGGCAACUCGCUCUGUCAGACUGGUGAGUGGAUCCUUGAUGUAUUGGGGUGUCUUACUUCUUAAAGGGACUGUCGGUGUUUAACCGAAGGAAGUGUGGCAAUAACAGGUCUGUGAUGCCCUUAGAUGUCCUAGGCUGCACGCGCGCUACACUGUCUGGUGCAACGAGCUACAUACUGGUCUGACAGGACUGGUUAAUCUUGUAAAAGCUUGACGUGAUGGGGAUUGAUUAUUGAAAUUAUUAGUCAUGAACGAGGAAUUCCUAGUAAUUGCAGUUCAUCAAACUGCGAUGACUACGUCCCUGCCCUUUGUACACACCGCCCGUCGCUCCUACCGAUUGAAUGGUCCGGUGAAAUCUGCAGAUCGGGUGGUCCACCCAGCAAUGGGCCCAUCUGAGAAGUUGAGUAAACCAUAUUAUUUAGAGGAAGGAGAAGUCGUAACAAGGUUUCCGUAGGUGAACCUGCGGAAG
rnacentral:rRNA from 1 species